rnacentral:lncRNA from 1 species
CUGAAAACUUUGAGCAGACAGUUUAUCAGAAUCAUUGCAAAUUUAAAUAAGCCAAAGGAAUAAUUUUCAGGAGAGGAGAAACAAAUACAUAGAGUGUGGAAGCAUGCAUUCACGUCUUAUAUAAUCACUAAGUAAUGCAAGGGGUGUGGGGAGCUGGCAUAGUCCAUAGGCAUUACCUACAUUACUAAACACAUACACCAUUUCUUAAAAAUAAUUGUAACCGAAAGCAUGCCUAAUUCUCUAUGAACAAUCAGUAAAUUAAUAGUCACUUUAGCUUAUUAUCAGUUGGCAUAGCUCAAGUCACAAAAUGGAAUAGCAGGAAGAUUCCCGAGAUCAUUUUCUGGUAAGGAAAGGGGCCUUAGAAAUAUGCAACAACUUAAUUCCUUUAGCCAUACAACUAGCUAAUGAUAUAAAUUAAGAAACAGAAUUAAGUCUCUGUCUAUUUUUCCUAAAGGUAAGAAAAAAGGUGAGUUAUUUUUUAAAUGUUAGGGUAUACAUUCAAUUAGCAGGAAUGUAUUUGUUUAGUGGCACAGAAAUAAAAUAAUUCUUAGCCAGGCUGUGAUUAAGACUCCUCUAAUUGUUAAUUGCACAAUAAAAAGAGUUUUGACACAAAUAAUCUCAACUGUUCAUGUGCACAAUUUCCAAGUUGUACCGUCAUUAAACAAAAAGUAGACCUAAGGAAAAUUUUCAUUUUUAAUGUGUAAAAAAUGAAUGAUAUUCAAAAUGGUAUUCUUGAGUAGUUCCUAGUUGUGUCACUUUAAAGAACAUCAGAAAUGUUUAUUAUUCCAGAUACUACAUUAGAAAAUUUCAAAAACUGAAUUAAGUCAUUUUUAUCUUAUGAUAUCUCUGGCAAACAAAUGGUUGAAUUAAUUGUAGAUAUAAAGUAUGUUAAAUUAGAGCUUGCUGGAAUUUCAUUAUGAAAAACAAAUGGAAGUUUUAUCUGGAAAACUGUAAGGGCGAUUUCUACAGAAAGGUAUGGUAACUGCAGUGGCUUUCUACACAUGGCUGUGUUCCACUUUGAUUAAUGAGAAUGCAAGGAGGUAGAAAAGCAGGCUCGGCAGAAACAGUACCCAUGCUAAAUUAACAACCCAGUGCUACUCAUUAUGCAAGAAAUACUUGCCAGAGUUACAAUGGUGCAUCCUCUGAUCUCAGAUGGGCGUCAUUAGCCACCUUCAGUCCCUCGGAUAAGACAAUCCAGAAUAUGCCAUUCUCAUCCAAGGCAAGAUUGCCAGAAGAGAGCUCACUAUCAAGAAGGGCAGAAUAUGUGUCUCCAGGGAUUGUAAUGAGCUCAGGCCUUUCAUAUCUUGUUGCCAAGAGCCCUUGAGCAAAUUGAAAAAAUCUGGUGGUCUGUAUGAAACUGAGAGCAGUGUACUUUCUAGAUAACAGAUGACCUAUCUUGAAUAUGUUAUACAUUAUUUUAAAAUAAUGAAUCAAAGGACAAAGACUAUCAUACUUGUGACCAAGAGUUUACCUAAGAGGAAAAAAUAAAACAAAGCAAAAAACUUUCAGCUCGUAGAUGCUCUACACUCAAAUCAAUAAGAGCUCUUGCCCUGGAAGAUUAAUAGGCUAUGUGGCACUAGAAAUGGAGACAGAAAAAAAAAGUUAUGAAAAUAAUGACAUGGAUUUUUAUUCUUAAAAUAAAAAUUCACAUCUCUAGAGCUAUCAGCAUGAUGGCAGCCUUCACAUAAACCAUAUAUUUGUCCAUGUGCCUUUUUCCCCCUCUUUUAAGUUUUUCACUUUUUAAAAAUUUUUUAGGUUUGGUAGGAGUCAGGGUUAGUGGAGUAAUUGUGACAAAUAAAAAACAUUUCCAUAAAUCCUGUGCCAGAUGAAAGUAUGAAGCAACGUUACAGGAGGAAAUGCAACUGGUCAAAAUUAUUUGAGUGAAAUUAUUGAAUAUUUAUCAUCUUCAUUGGAAGACUGUGGUUUAUUCUGAAUCCAAAACAACAAUGUGUACAUAAUAGAUGUUUUUAAAGGGAAAAAGUAAAGAGCUAACAAGUCCGUAGGUAGAUUCAAGUUCACAAAGCUGCAGAAAGGAGAAAAAUGGCAACAACAAACAAGAAAGGAGUCAAGAUCAGAACUCAAGCUCCAGUUUACACAGUCUAUUGUAUAUGUAAUUCACUAGCUCUUCUGGACCACACAUUUCUCAUCUGGCAAUAGAGUGCAGUAGACAUUACUUUAUGAUCACCUAAGAAACUUUUAAACGUCUAGGUUGUUGAUUAGACAUCCUGGGCUAAUUAGCCUGGCACAGGACAUGAGCCACUUCUAGAAUAUUUCUUCUUUUCUUCCUACUCCCUUCCAUGUGAUCAUGUGGAUGCUCUGUGAGCCAGAGAAACAGGGAAAAGAAGUUAGCAGGCAAUUUCUUUAGGAGCUCUAACUAAAGUGUUGCUGAAGAAGAAAGCUUCAGUGGAUCUUUACAGACAAAGAAUAGGGACCCGACAUGCUUCCCUCCUCCCAUUUCCUCAAGAACACACUUAGAGCCUCACCCACAUCUAUCCUUUUUUUUAAAUGUAGUUCUAGUAUCACCUUGAAUAGAACGAAGUACAUUCAAAUAAGGAAGCGCAAAACUAUCAUACUGAAACAAAAUGUGCCAAUUCUAGCUAAUAUGUGACUUGUAAGGGUCAGUAAUACUGAAGGAUUUGAAUGAUAAUUGUAUGUUUUAUUCAUGUAAUGUGAUUUUGCACUAUUGUAUCGUCAUAGUUAAACAGACUCUUAAAAAACCCCAAAACCUAAAUGCCAAAUGUACAGUUUAUAAAUUCAUGUUAUUUCUGAUAAGGAUUUAAUUGCAUUGUGCUAAUAGUUGUUUAAUGCUCUUAAGUUUAAUGCUCUUAACUUUCUGUAUGUGUAUUAUUGCCAUGCAGAUCCAAUAGGGUUGUUGUAAGCACACUAAUUAGUCAUCUGAAUUUUUAUAGAUAAAAGUCACACAUUGAUCAGAAAUCACUUUUCUACUUAUUUUUUUGUAGAGUAUUUUUCCACACUUGAAAAAAAACAUGAUUAUUUUAUAUCAAACAUCAGCUUUUCUUUAAAAUCUUAUUUUAGUAGCCAGUGCAUGUUUGAAAUAAGAUGUGUUAGAAACUAUAUGACGAUAUUAAGAUUGUGACGACAUUAGGUGAAAAAAUGCAUGCCAUUGGUGAAUCAUGCAACUCUGGGGGAAUUUACAGUGCCAGCUCACCCACAGACUUCAUCUCAACCCAUGUGCAUGAUUCACAUUCUUUCAAAAGUCCUUAUUAAACGUUAGCAGUGAAAAUGUUACUCUUAAUGCAAAUAAGUCCAUAGACAAUGCUGCUUUGCUUAUUUUCUAACUUUGCAGCGUAUUGUGGUAAAUUCCAUUCCCCUCAAUUUUCUUCUUGGAGUUUCUUGUUGGCAAUAAAAUACAACAAAUAAAAUCAUUUGUUGGCAAAUGAUACAAUUUACUGUAUAGCAAUUUACUAUAAUAAAGCAUGAAGAUGUGAAAAAAAUAAUCUUAAUUUGUUCCAUACUAUGAACACAAUAUUCUGGCAGCUUUUUCUACAAUCAAGAAUGGUAUGUCUGUGGGAGUUUCCGUUGUGGCUCAGCAGUACUACUGCCAGUGGG